rnacentral:lncRNA from 1 species
AAUUUAGAAGAAAAAGAAGACAAAGGGACUCAGGAUUUUAAAGGGUUUAAUUUUUUUAUUUAUUUUCUUUUUAGGCUUUUUAAGGAAUUUUUUUUUUAUUCUUUCCAAUGUGGUAUUUAAUGUGGCAAAUAUUUGACCAGUCAAAUAAACGCUACAUUAGUUUCAUUUGUAUCGUCACUAACAAUAUUAAAUGGAUGCUACGUCAGUUCCGUUUAUAUCAUCAUUAACAGUAUUAAAUAUUAGAUAAAAAUUCUAAUCAAC